AGUAAAAUUUUGUGAAAUACAGAAAAAGAAAACAAGUAGGCGUCCGACAACCAACUAACUAAAACUCACAAAGCAGUUUGCCAGUGAACAACUCAGAUUCACUCCUCCGUUUGAAAAAUUAACAAGAUCUGAAAACUAUUCAGCAAGUGAAAAAAAUUUAGUAAAAAUGGCAGCAGCAACAGCACAGAAAAUAAACGAACGUUUUCAGUCGUUUGUCCAUGGCCUCAACGAUCGCUAUGAGCCGCAUGUGCGCCAGCACCUGGCCAAAGUCUACAUGGUGUUGGGCAGCACCGCAGCCGCAACCACUGUGGGUGCCCUCUGCCAGAUGCGCGGUUUUCUAGAUCUCGGCGUGUUGGCUGCCGUGGCCACGCUGUUUCUGGUAUUGGGGCUGCAUUUCUACAAGGAUAAUGGCAAGAAUUAUCGCACACGUUUGACCAUGCUCUAUGCCUUUGGAUUUCUGUCCGGCCAGACAAUGGGGCCGCUGCUGGCCUACGUCAGCCACAUCAAUCCGGCCAUUAUUAUCACCGCACUCACUGGCACCUUUGUCACCUUUCUAUCGCUCUCGCUGGCCGCUCUCCUGGCCGAGCAGGGCAAGUAUUUGUUCCUCGGCGGAAUACUAGUCAGCGUUGUCAACACCAUGGCCCUAUUGAGUCUCUUCAACAUGCUAUUCCAGUCGUAUGUGGUGCAAGUGACUCAACUGUAUGUGGGUGUCUUCGUCAUGGCCGCUUUCAUAGUCUACGAUACCCAGAACAUUGUACAGAAGUGCCGCCAUGGCAAUCGCGAUGUCGUACAGCAUGCUUUGGAUCUCUUCUUUGACGUAUUGAGCAUGUUCCGUCGUCUGCUCAUAAUCUUGACCCAGAAGCUCAAGCCCUUUAUGGUCUAAGCAUCAAGCAUAUCCCAACGCCGAACACUUUGCAAUAGUUUUUAACCAAGUCAAAUAAUCUCUUAAGAUUAAGAUUAACCAAAUUCAAACGGAGGAGCGCAAGCAAAACGAGCGCCGCAGGAGGAACUAAGGUCAGGCGGUAGCAGCAUUAAAUAACCAAAAAAAAAACAUAAACAAACCAACAGCAGAUACAUCUACAUUAUGUACACUACAACAAAACUGAUUACGUUAGAAAAUGCCCCCCCUUCUUUUCAAAGAACUUAUGGCCGUGCAUAUUUCGGACCUUAAAUUACAACAACACAUUCAAGGCGUUCAUUGUGCAACAGCCCAGGCUAAAAAUUCUCUAUUUAAAUAAAGCCCCAAGUUAAAGAC